CUUUAGCCCCCAACCCCUAUCUGCUUGGACUGGGCCAUCCUUGGAGCGGUAAAGUCCAUUUCAUUGUUCCUCAGACCUCUACCCAGGGGACCAUUGUGUUCUAGUACUGUGGACCCUUACCAAGAGGCUGAUCCAAAUAGCCUAGAGAAAAGCAAAUUCCAGAGGGUGGGCCUAAUGCUUCCACAUUGUUCAAUGACCUCGUGGGUUUAGGGCAGCCCUUCAGCCAUGCUCAGGAGUUGGACAUUUCUGGACAAUCCUUAAGGACCUUGACAAAUGGUAACAUUUCUUCCCAUAAUGUAGUACUUUCUCCUCCUUAGGGCAAAUUUGCUUCUGACCUGAUAACAACAACGCCUUGUGCAGCCAAUAGAUAAUGUAGCCACCCUCUCCUACAGAUAAAGAAAGGAAGGCUCAGAAAGGCUGAGACUUGCUAGAGCUGGUGCAGCAGUCAGGGUGCAAAGCUGGUUACCUGCCUUCAAUUGUAACAGUCUUCUAGGGGCACAGUGUUAUCCAGAGCUGGCAAAAGAGAAAGAAACUGAGGCCCAGAGAAGAAAAAUGGCUUGUCUAAGAUCCCAUAGCAUUGUUCUUCUGGCAUAUAUGGUCCUUGAGAACCCAAGAUCUCCAUACUAUGACAAAACAUCAAGAAAAGACUUCAAUCAAGGCAAAUGCUUUUAUUCAAUUUUGCAAGUAAGGAAAGUAAACUACAGAGCAGUUGAGUGACAAAGUACAGAAUAUUUUUAAAAACAGGGAUUUUAGUGAUCCUUUAGCCCAAUCCUUUCACUCUAAAAAUGAGAAACUUGAGACUAGAGAGGUGAAAUUUUUUUAUUAAACAAUUUAUUUAUUAA